UACGUAGGGGGCAAGCGUUGUCCGGAAUCAUUGGGCGUAAAGAGCGUGUAGGCGGCCUGGUAAGUCCGCUGUGAAAGUCCAGGGCUCAACCCUGGAAUGCCGGUGGAAACUGUCAGGCUCGAGUCCGGAAGAGGCGAGUGGAAUUCCUGGUGUAGCGGUGAAAUGCGCAGAUAUCAGGAGGAACACCAAUGGCGAAGGCAGCUCGCUGGGACGGUACUGACGCUGAGACGCGAAAGCGUGGG
rnacentral:rRNA from 1 species